rnacentral:rRNA from 1 species
AUUGAACGCUAGCGGGAUGCUUUACACAUGCAAGUCGAACGAGUGGCGGACGGGUGAGUAAUAUAUCGGAACGUGCCCAGUAGCGGGGGAUAACUACUAGAAAGAGUGGCUAAUACCGCUUACUAUUGGAGCGGCCGAUAUGGGAUUAGCUAGUUGGUGGGGUAAAGGCUCACCAAGGCAACGAUCCUUAGCUGGUUUGAGAGGACGACCAGCCACACUGGGACUGAGACACGGCCCAGACUCCUACGGGAGGCAGCAGUGGGGAAUUUUGGACAAUGGGGGAAACCCUGACCGAGCAAUGCCGCGUGAAUGAGAAGGCCUUCGGGUUGUAAAGUACUUUUGGCAGAGAAGCGGUAUCUGCAGAAUAAGCACCGGCUAACUACGUGCCAGCCGCCGCGGUAAUAC